rnacentral:rRNA from 1 species
CCUACGGGAGGCAGCAGUGAGGAAUAUUGGUCAAUGGGCGCGAGCCUGAACCAGCAAAGUCGCGUGAGGGAAGACGGCCCUACGGGCUGUAAACCUCUUUUGCCGGGGAGCAACGGGCGCCACGUGUGGCGCCACUGAGAGUACCCGGAUAAAAAGCAUCGGCUAACUCCGUGCCAGCAGCCGCGGUAAUACGGAGGAUGCGAGCGUUAUCCGGAUUUAUUGGGUUUAAAGGGUGCGUAGGCGGUGCGUUAAGUCAGUGGUAAAAUUGAGGGGCUCAACCCCUGCCCGCCAUUGAAACUGGCGCUCUUGAGUGGAAGAGAAGUAUGCGGAAUGCGUGGUGUAGCGGUGAAAUGCAUAGAUAUAUCGCAGAACCCCGAUUGCGAAGGCAGCAUGCCGGCUUCCGACUGACGCUGAAGCACGAAAGCGUGGGGAUCAAACAGGAUUAGAUACCCCAGUAGUC